CGACACCCGCACCCCUCGCUCCGAUCCGCUCGCCCCCUCCGUCCGAUGCGCUCGCCCCUCGUUCCGCCCCGAAGCGCUCCCCCUCGCUCCCCCUCACGCCACCGCAGCCCGCGAGCCGGUCCGAGCUGCCGCCAUCGUGUCGUCGAGCCAUCCCAUCCCAGCCUAGCCCCGCCGUCCCGCCAUCCCGCCACCACGAGGUGCCGCUGCGAGGGUCCCCGUCCACCCGCGCCUGCCGGCAGUUCCUCUCUGCCGACGCCGCCGCCAUCCCCCGUGCUCCCCUCGCCCCGUGCACCCCUCACGCCGGCCUCCCACUCGCUCCACCCUCUACCUCGCGACUGACUCCCUGAGACGGUCCGCAGUCCCACCGUCCCGCGCCGCCGCGCUGGGAAGUUCGCUCGGGCCGCUUGCCCCCGCAACGCCGACGUUGCCAAGCUGCCCUCCCCACCACGCUACCGCUGCGGACGACGUCGCCACGCCGCCCUCCUCACCGUGACUCCCCACAGCGCCUCCACGGAACCUGAGCGCGCCUCGCCCGUUUGGCUCUCUCUGCUCUUGGGGAGCACGAACAAAGGAAUCUGGAGCUUCCAGGCUUCACUGCACAACCUGAUUGUGUAAAUUCGUUUGACUUUCUCUUCUCAUGGAUAUUGAUGAACCAAGAACUCCACGGCCACUACCACCGCCAAAUACUGGCAGCGGAGGCGUGUGGUGCUCAAGCCGCCUUCCUCUGGCGCAGGACCACAAGUGCUCUUCUCUUCCGUCGCCUGAUCGUCCCCGAUUGUGCGUGAACCAUUCGAUGAAAUGUCAUUCUCGAUUGUAUUAGUUUGACAGGUUUAAUAUGACGCUAGAUCAUCCGUGCUCUUGACCUACUUGAAGUUUCCAUGGGACGAUCUGGUCCAUGAGAUAGUGGUUUGAAUACUGCCGUCAAGAUUGGUGGUGAUCCGAGCCUUCUGAGGAUGCAAACUGCAUUAACAUAUGGUUUGGAAUAUGUAAUCUGAAACCUGCCACCCCUGAUCUGCAACAGAGUCUGACAGUGCCUUGCAACAUACUUUGCUUAGAGGGCCAAUGAUGGGAAGGACAGGUGCUAGCGGCGUUGACAUACUCUUCUUCUUGAGGUAGGAGGGAGGAGGAAGGCUGAAACAUCUAAAACGACCAGCGAAAUUAAGGUAUUUGACUGUUUGUGAUUUUUGAGGAAGGUCUCUCUCAAAGAGGGUACCCUGACCAUAUUGCAUACAUGAUCCCCAGGUUUCAGGUAGGAUCACGAUAGCAUUUAGAUUGUUUUAGCUGGAGCUGACGACAAUUGCUAUAAAAACCCAAUCCAUUUUAUACCAGUAAACUAUUUUGAACUUGCAAAUUUGGGAUAAAGUUUCUAUAGCUGUCCAUGUAUGGAAUGGAGUGAGCUUGACUAUGACAUCUAUGUGUUGAUAUAGUCUUUGCGUGACCAUGGCCUAAACCAGGAAAGGAUAACCAGCCAUCCUAGGUUUAGUACACCAAGGUACACUAAUCAGCUAGGUUUUAGGCUAUCUCCAAGAAAUCCAACCUUUUUUUUUGCUCUGUUUGUGCUUAUUGUGGGUUCCAAACGAAAUUGAGAGCACAUGCUGCAUUAGUUGAUCAGCUAAGUUAUAUCUUUACAUGUGCAUUGGUAGGACAAAAUUAUAAAAGAUCUAAUUGUAUCCUAUGCGAAAGCUUGUCCGAACUUUAGUUAUAAUUAGUUAAUUAUAACUAAGCAUUUUGUUUCUAUUGUUGUCUUGUCCAAAUUUGAGGUGCUUUUGUCUUAGAGCUUGUAUUUUGACUAGAAAAUUAAGAGAUUUAAUCUUUAUAGGACCAGUGAUUUAUCUCAUCUUCCCGAGAAAUUUUAAUAUCGUGCUACAAAACUUUGAUUUUCAUUAGCUGUUGACAUGAGUUACCUUUACAUCAAUCCAUAAUAUCUCUUUAUUUUUUCUUGACAUGUGAUCUAACAUAUUCCAUGAGAGGACGAUGCAUGAUCACACGGGGUCAAGCAGGCACACAACAUUGCCAAUGCAUGAACAAACCCACUGCUCGGCUCGGAGUUGCAGAAGCAACAGGCUGCUUCUCUGACGAUAAGGAGCUUCAACUGCCACCUAAGACGAAUCGUACAUCUCCAACACACGAUCAUCGCAAAAAGAUUCAAAUUCAUCAAAUUUUCUUUUUUUGGUUUAGUUCCUAAAUGCAAAUGCUACAGAUCCAUGUACUGUCAACUGCUCCGAUUUAGGCAUCACAAACACCGAAGUGCGCUGCGCACCUGAACCUUUGCUUCCACACAU